rnacentral:rRNA from 1 species
UACAUGCAAGUCGAACGAGCUUCCGUUGAAUGACGUGCUUGCACUGAUUUCAACAAUGAAGCGAGUGGCGAACUGGUGAGUAACACGUGGGGAAUCUGCCCAGAAGCAGGGGAUAACACUUGGAAACAGGUGCUAAUACCGUAUAACAACAAAAUCCGCAUGGAUUUUGUUUGAAAGGUGGCUUCGGCUAUCACUUCUGGAUGAUCCCGCGGCGUAUUAGUUAGUUGGUGAGGUAAAGGCCCACCAAGACGAUGAUACGUAGCCGACCUGAGAGGGUAAUCGGCCACAUUGGGACUGAGACACGGCCCAAACUCCUACGGGAGGCAGCAGUAGGGAAUCUUCCACAAUGGACGAAAGUCUGAUGGAGCAAUGCCGCGUGAGUGAAGAAGGGUUUCGGCUCGUAAAACUCUGUUGUUAAAGAAGAACACCUUUGAGAGUAACUGUUCAAGGGUUGACGGUAUUUAACCAGAAAGCCACGGCUAACUACGUGCCAGCAGCCGCGGUAAUACGUAGGUGGCAAGCGUUGUCCGGAUUUAUUGGGCGUAAAGCGAGCGCAGGCGGUUUUUUAAGUCUGAUGUGAAAGCCUUCGGCUUAACCGGAGAAGUGCAUCGGAAACUGGGAGACUUGAGUGCAGAAGAGGACAGUGGAACUCCAUGUGUAGCGGUGGAAUGCGUAGAUAUAUGGAAGAACACCAGUGGCGAAGGCGGCUGUCUAGUCUGUAACUGACGCUGAGGCUCGAAAGCAUGGGUAGCGAACAGGAUUAGAUACCCUGGUAGUCCAUGCCGUAAACGAUGAGUGCUAAGUGUUGGAGGGUUUCCGCCCUUCAGUGCUGCAGCUAACGCAUUAAGCACUCCGCC